CCAGGGGAGCACCGGGGAGGGGAGGGGCUUGUUCUGCCGGCCCCUGACACCAUCUGCCCUGCUCUAUCUCUCCAUCUAAAAUAAAACACCUCUGCUGGGUUUAGAGCCACAUCCUGGAACUAUUCUCCCAUACUCCAACUAUAUUCUCUCACUUUCUGACUUAAAAUCAGAUUAGAUCUUUCUUUUUAUAAAUUACAAUCAAUAUUCUGAUUGUGAAAGGGGAGUACUAUGUACAUCUGAAGAUAUAAAGGGCAUUAUAAAUAAAAUCUUGUAUUUCUCCAUUAGAUUGCCAUCUUAUAGUACAAUAAAAUAACAGUGUUACUUCAGUUAUACAAAUGCAGAAUAUAUUUUUAAAAAUGACUUAAAAGAAAUGUCUUCACAAUUUGAUGCCUUGAAAUUGACCUCUGCCUCUUUAAGAAGCUCCUUCUCCUUCCAACACUCCACCUUCAGCAUGUCAUGACAACAAAGCCAUUCCAUAAUGCCAUUUACAUCCAUUUUUAGGAGAGUUGGACAGAGAAAUAGUUCAUAUGAUGAGCUCAGCAGACUCCAUUUACACCAGGUGUUCACUAAUUGCCUCUGCCACUAGUCUGGAGGAGCUAUGCUAUGUAAGGUGGAAGUCCAAGACUGCGGCUUCAAGGAGGAGCUUUGGUUAAAUAGGCGGUGUUAAGUGAGAGCAAGCUUUUAGGCCCCCCAUGAAUCGUUGCCAUGGGAGAGUCAAGGAGUUCUCAGACAUGCAUGAAACACUCUAGGUACAUUUAUGACGACAAACGUACCCAGCAUUCCCAGUCAUAUAUGAUGGCAGUGGAGGCCAUCAGAGCAAAGUCACUGGCAUGUC